GGGAGAUCGCACCAGCCCAGUCAACAGGCUCCCACUUGUACCAGGACUCCUUCAUGUCCUCCUGCUGCUUACGUAGCGCAGCUACUUCCAAGUUAUAGGUCUCACGUUCUGUCACGUUUCAAAGGUGGAGAAGGAAGCAAGCACAGAUUCUUAAAUAUUUAAUAACAAACAAACCUACGAAACACUCUACAACUAUGAAACAAAACACUGUGGCAGAGACAAAAUACGGCAGCAUAGACAAAGGUAUAGUAAGACGAAUACGUGAGACAAGGAAAGCAGUGCAAACAGUGGCAUAUAUACUAGUGUGCUCAUUAACCAAAACGUAAAUUAGGUGCAGGUGGUCAUGUUACACUGAUGAGUAUGGUGCAGUGACUGCUGUGAAAUGAAGUCCAGAGUUCCCUCAUUGAUACAUGACAGCUAAUAUCUCUACAUUACACACACACACAAACACACACUGUUCAUCUUACUCAAACAGCCAGUCAGUUUUUAAUAUCGAGUUCAAUAUAUGAUCAUUUCACAGAUACAAUGUCCAACGAUCAUCCAGUCCGAUUUCAGUAAAUUGCACAGUAGAUGUAACAGGUUGGGUUAACUAAAGGACAGUAAAAUAGUGUUUCACUUUUCCUGUCUUUAUUUCUUCUUUUCCCUUCACCAUUCACUCGUCUGCCUUUUCAUCUUCCCUGUUCUCUGCCCUUCUACUUUCUCACAGUCACACAAACGUGGGGCAAAUGUGAGAAACAGGAUUAGCUCCUGAACACAAGAACACACAGCUGAUCAUAAUAAGAUAAAAGAUUUUCAUAAAACAACAGUUGCACAAGGGAAUCCAAAUAAAUACAUAAGCAAGAAAUGCAUCAGGCCAUACGUGAAAUGUUUAAGACGAUAUCAGUGACAGAACUGGAACUUUUCAGAGGACAAAUAAGUCACUGAGAAUGUGCUAUACACCAGCUAACAUCUGUCGUCUCAUUUAAGUGGCAUGAUUAUAGGAAUUAAACUAUUAAUACCCUUAAUUAUUUAUUUCAGCUCACAGAUAAAAAGUGAACACUGCGUUGUCUAAUUUAAAGUCACACUUUUUUAUUCUGUUACUCAUGUUGAAGCAUG
ensembl:lncRNA